GUGGGGAAUCUUGCGCAAUGGGCGAAAGCAUGACGCAGCCAUGCCGCGUGAAUGAUGAAGGUCUUAGGAUUGUAAAAUUCUUUCACCGGGGACGAUAAUGACGGUACCCGGAGAAGAAGCUCCGGCUAACUUCGUGCCAGCAGCCGCGGUAAUACGAAGGGGGCUAGCGUUGCUCGGAAUUACUGGGCGUAAAGGGCGCGUAGGCGGACAGCUUAGUCAGAGGUGAAAGCCCAGGGCUCAACCUUGGAAUUGCCUUUGAUACUGGCUGUCUUGAGUGUGGGAGAGGUGAGUGGAACUCCGAGUGUAGAGGGGAAAUUCGUAGAUAUUCGGAAGAACACCAGUGGCGAAGGCGACUCACUGGCCCAAUACUGACGCUGAGGCGCGAAAGCGUGGGGAGCAAACAGGAUUAGAAACCCCGGUAGUCC
rnacentral:rRNA from 1 species